UUUUUUUCUUCUGCUGCAGUUUAGCUCAUAUAGGGUGAUGAAGAUCAUUAUUAUGCAUUACUUUUUCUUUCUUUAAUUUAUGUAUUAGUAUUAAAACAGACUGAAUUAUGCCCGAUCAUAACAAAGAUAUAGGUGCCUGGGCAGAAAAUGUGAUGAAGGAGCUGCUUGCAUCCAUCCUACACUCUGAAGUCCCUGUAGGAUCCUCAGAGAUUUUGUGCUUAUUUUAGUUAUAAUACACGUUAGACUGUGAAGAGGACGGGAAGCAAACAGAACUACCUUUCUGGGUCUGCAGGAUUCCUUAAACAAUAGCUCUGAGAAGCAAAGCGUGCAAAAAAAGGUAUUGGAUGACCUAUAUAAUUUACAGCAAAUGAUACGCAAUUUGGAUGUCAGAGUGAGCAGACCCCAGUUUGUAGGCAGGAAAAAUGAAAUGUUUCCAUGGAGAUCAGCCAGAGAUAGCCAAAUGACGAACUUCUUGGCUGUACUUUCAGUUUGGUUUCUAUGGUUUCCAGACAAGGAGGUGGAAAAAGUGAAGUUGCUGAGGAAAAGUCUGCUUUUAAUCCCUCUCUGCGUCACAGAAAGGACUGGACAAUCUCUAGUUUUCAAAUGUCCUUUAAGGGUGGCAUACUUCUAACCCUUAAGAUGUGCAAUCUGUAUGCAGUAACUGCCAGUGCCCUUAUUAGACAUGCAUCCUGCAGCACCUGUGACCUGCAAGGAAGAUGGCUUGCUCUUCAUGCUGUAAUCUAGUGAGUGAUGCUGCCACAGAGCUAGGAGGUGGCUGUACUCUGGCUGUGUGCAAAUAAUCCUGACAGGAGGAGGAGAUGCAGAUUCCAGUGGAGCAGAAAUAGAUCUAUGGCCACCCUCUGGCUGAAAGUGUGGGUGUUACUUCCCUCCUCUGCACAUCUUUCAGUUGAGAUAAAAUGGUGUACCAAAAAUUAACUUAAAAAAUCCCUGUCUCCUCAGCUAAAUAUUUAUGCAAUAAUCCCUAUGGCCUAGAAGGGAAGAAUACACUAGGGAGCACAAGGCUUUUACCUCUGCUUGAAACCCUGGGCUAUCCCAAAUUAUCUGAACUUUGCAGGUGGGAUGGUGGUUUUUACCCUCCCAGGGAAACCAUUUUCACCUGGGCUUGUGACUGUGCUCUACCUCUUUUAACAUAGCAGAAAGGGCAUCUCAGCCUAAAUUUUCUUACUGUGCUUUGAGAUGCUUGUGGAAAUGCCUGUUGUGUUUAUGGGUCUGCCAACAGUAAAAGGAAGAAAAGAUUCUCAUGGUAAGUCUGAAGGUUUGGCUUUCAGACGAAGAAUUAGAAGUAAGAGGCAGCAGGUAAAACAGAUCUCACAUGGACUCUGGCUUAAAUUUAAAGACAAGUUGAUUUACUUAUUUGAUUGGGCUUAAAAUAUCUAACAUAAUUUUGGGAAAAUGAUCAUGGUCUACUAAGUCAGAAGAGCCCAGAAAGCUGGUAAAAUAAAAAUGUCAUGGUGUGGUGAAGGUUGGCUUUCCUCAAAUGAUUUUUUUCUUAAACCUGGGAGAGCCUGGACAUAUGCUGAGGUACUCAGCCUGAUUAAUGCUACUAGGUAUUCACCAGCCUUCACCACAAAAUCCCUUCUCAGACAGUAAUACCAAAUAUUCUUGCUUUUUUAAUUACUUAAAAAUAUAUAUUUGUAGUAUGAUAUAGGAAACAAACGAUCUUGGAGGUGGUUAUCUGAAUCAUUUUAUUAUAAACACUGAACAAUUAAAUUCAAAGUAUUUAUAGACAUUUGAUUGAACGUUUCAAAUAAAUACAGUUUUUCAUUUGAUGCUUUCUUUUCAGGAGACUAUGUUGAAAUAUCCUUUGUAUCAUAAAAUUUAAUGCUCUGCUUUAGUAGUUUCAAAGCUCAAGUAUUUAUGCUUAUGGAUAGACACAUGUAGACAUAGCAGAAAUUCUGUCCCAAGUGAUUCUGACACAGCACCUCUUUUCCUUUGGCCAUAGCAGGGUUCAGUCAUACUUGGUCCCACUUUGCAUGAGCCCUCAGAGGUCAGUGCUUCAUUUGCAUGAUUUUAAUAACCUGUGCAACCCAGUGAGUUCACACUAUGUAGAACUGGAAAGAGAUUUGUUGGUGUGAAGAUUUCUCACUGCAAGGGCAGAAGGAAUUCAGAGGAGGGAGGGGAAAAAUAUAUUGCAUAUGUGUGCUGUGUAGGAAGUGUAUUUGGGACUAAGGAGAUUCCCUGAGAACAGAAAAGGGAUAAUUCUGAGUAGAUGAAUUAGCAGAACAGAUUUGGAAGCUUGGUCCAGGAAAAAUGUUGGAGCUGGGGAGGGAGGGAUAGAGUAAUAUUGCAACAGUAUCGAAAGAAUCAUCCUCACUGGAAAAGAGGUUGUGGGUUUUUUAUUAUUAUUAUUAUUAUUUUAAUUUUUUAAUGACUCCAGAUUCUGUUGUGUGCCUCAUGUCUGAAAACAUAGGCUGAUCAAAUUGUGUAGCAGGUUGUUAUCAAGGUCUCACUGUCCACAAUUAGCAACAUCCUAAGCUUUUAUUUUGGUGGAGAUGAUGUUCUGAUCUGGUUUGUCUUCUGCUUUCAGCAAUUGUUACACUUGUUUCUAGGAUUUUAUCCCAUACAAGUUUAAAUACAAGUAAACUUGAGCAGAAAAUGUAUUUUAAUUCAAUAAAUUGUUGAUCUAUUC
ensembl:lncRNA